GCCUGUGUCACAUCAUCACAGAGGCUGAGGUCCCGGAGCGGCUACAGGAAGGGACCCAGCUUCGCUCUCUUCCCGGGUGUCGUCCUGGGUGUGGUGGGUGGGCUUGACCACACCUGAAGUCUCAUCGGCAGACCGCAGGAGGUCACACCGAGGACCACACGCUCCCUUCGCCACCGAGAGUCGGGGACAUCGGGAGUUUGAAGGACCCAGGAAGCCUUGGUAACAGGAGGGUGAGCUGCUGGUUGGCGUAUCCAUGGCUCUCGUUUGUCAGGAUCAACUGCAUCAUUGGAAAGGUAUGGAUUGGCAAGUGUUCUGAACCAGCCCAGUGCUCAGCUUAGGAAGACCCUUAUCCUUGCUUCCAGAAGCUCGCCGUGCACGGAUGGGGAAGAUCAAUGUGUCCCCAGGUCUCUCAUUCAGCAGGUCUGGAGAAUUUGCAGGCCUAAGGACUCCCGGGUGCUUCUGAUCCUGCUCGUCCCAGAACCAACCUUUGAGAACUGCUGGGUCAGAGAGAGGAGGGGCUGGAAGCAAGGAGACCAGCUGGAAAGAAAGGAUAAUAGGGGCGCCUGGGUGGCUCACUGGGUUGAGCGUCUGACUUCAGCUCAGGUCAUGAUC